GUUUAUUUAUUACCCUUUCAUCACCUUCCGUUUCCCUUUCUUUACUCAAACUCCUCUCUCUCUCUCUCUCUCUCUCUCCUUCUCUCUCUCUGACCAAUUUCUCACCUCUUUCUUCUUGUUUUCUGCAGCACAAGGGAACCAAUUUCUGACUUUUUAUUCACCAACCCAUCUCUCUGUUUCUAAAUCUUGGCUGUUUGAAGUCGUAUAUAUUGAUUAUGCACAAUUUUGGGGAUGAAUUCACAAUAGAAAGCUACAGAAUCCCAUGGCUUGUAUGGAUCCAGGUGAUGGUGAUGAUCCUCCUCCUCAUUCUUCUCUUCUGCUUCAGCAUCUUAGUCUUAGAUCUCGAUGACCACAGCAACACCACCACCACCACCAGCAACAACAAGCCUUCAUCUUCUUCCACUAGCCGCUUAGUUUCUGAUGAUCUUCCCAAGCACAACAACUCAACCACAGCUUUUACACAACACUUACAAAAUACCCAGGUAGAAGAAAGCAUAAAAGGGGAGAUAGUAGCAAGCACAAGUAGAAUAAUGAGAGGAGAGGACAUGUUAGAAAUGGAGGCCCCUACAGCUUUCCAUCUAUAUUUCCACCCUUGCUAUUAUUUUAGGCUGGCGAGA